GACGAACGCUGGCGGCGUGCUUAACACAUGCAAGUCGAACGGAAAGGCCCUGCUUUUGUGGGGUGCUCGAGUGGCGAACGGGUGAGUAACACGUGAGUAACCUGCCCUUGACUUUGGGAUAACUUCAGGAAACUGGGGCUAAUACCGGAUAGGAGCUCCUGCUGCAUGGUGGGGGUUGGAAAGUUUCGGCGGUUGGGGAUGGACUCGCGGCUUAUCAGCUUGUUGGUGGGGUAGUGGCUUACCAAGGCUUUGACGGGUAGCCGGCCUGAGCGGGUGACCGGCCACAUUGGGACUGAGAUACGGCCCAGACUCCUACGGGAGGCAGCAGUGGGGAAUAUUGCACAAUGGGCGGAAGCCUGAUGCAGCAACGCCGCGUGCGGGAUGACGGCCUUCGGGUUGUAUCCCGCUUUCGCCUGUGACGAAGCGUGAGUGACGGUAAUGGGUAAAGAAGCACCGGCUAACUACGUG
rnacentral:rRNA from 1 species